AAUGAUAAACGGCUUGGCAACAUAACAGAGCUAACGUUAUAUCCCCUCGCAUCGACUUAUCAAAGUAAGUCUUGGAAGCCGGGAGCCAACACUCAACAGUGCGGCAGUACAAUAGUAUACCUCAAUCAGCUCGGGUUAGCAGAGCGGAGCGGCAUUACUUAGCAAGCGAUGGAAGGGCGUGGAUACUUGAGUGAAAAGCUGCUUGUGCAGCUAAUUCUAAUCCUGGGAGCAUUUUUAAAUGUAGCUUUGUGUACAUUGCAAGAUGAAAUCGGAAGUGAUUCCCUUGAAGUCAGAUUUGAUGAAAUCUAUGAUAUUGAUGAUUGGGACCAGGCCAUGACUGUUGGAUUCACAUCGUCAGUAACUACAAGUGUGAACAACUAUUGUAUGGAUUCAAGUAACUUUGCCUCCUGUCAGAUCUCGGCAUACAAUGACCCCUUUACCAUUGUACUCUCUGAGAAUUCUCCCGAGUAUUAUAAUGGGGACAUCAAAAUGACCUUUUAUGUAAGGAUUCCUGAGGCCGACAGGGCGUCUGACGCCGCCAUGGAGUAUGUCGUUCCUAAAGCCACAGUAGUCACUAUUGUGGAGGGGAGUGUAGCAGACAUCAACAACGCCACUGGCCAGGCACUUGUGUUCAUUGGUGACAAGCGCAUCAUUGAGCUGGACACCGGCCUGGACAAGAUCAUGGUCCCGAUCGUCUGCGUGCUCUUUGUCCUUGUCGUGCUCCUGGCGGUCUGUCUGACCUGCAUGCAGUCGCGUGGGGAGAAGAAGAUACAAGAGCAGAGACAAAAGCAGCUAGGCUCCAAGGGAGAUGAAGGGAUCACCCUCACAGCCGUCAAGAGCGGUGGAUAUAGCAUCGAAGAUAACAAUGAGGUGAAGGCAUAAAAUAGGCAAUACUUCGACACCGUUCUCACAUACAAAGGUGAAGAUGUUACAGGUGUCAAUGUUGCGUUGACAUCUUAAUAUAGGAUUUUAUGACCAGCCGACACCAACACAACUGCAACCACCACCAAGAGAUUCAGACGACAAAAGAAGCUCAAAGAAGGACGAGAAGCUCGAGCCCAUACCCCAGUCCAAGUCCAACCAGAAGUCCAGUCCAGCACCAAUGGUACCACGACCCCCAUCGAGGUCAAGCCCGCUAAACAGCUAGACAACUUCUCAUCGAACAACUCCAAUUACCUCCUCCAGCAAAGAGGGUCAAGGCAUGCUAUCGAGUUGCCCCCACUCGUGACAUCAAGCACGCCGAGGACAAUGUCCCUCGAUGGCAGUGAUUCGGAUGACAAGGAUAGGAAGAAAGAUAAGAAGAAGAAGAAGCAUCAUCGUAAGCUCAGUAAGCAAGCCCUGGUCGAUGCCAUCGACAAGGAUGAUGACCAGGGGGACGAUAAAUCACUUGCAACACUCUCUGAAAAUAAUCAUGGGUCGUAGGUUAAUCAAUUGCCCUCCAACCUUUAACCUUUUUUUAAUAUUCGGGUCAGUAUUAUUAACUGUGCUUUGGAACUUUUAAACCGUCCAGGUUAGCUGAAAGGGUGAUUUGGAGAGUAAUAUAAAGGAGAUACUGUGAAUUUCUGGCUUUCAUUGCCGAAAAUUUGGCUCUUGUCAAAAUGGAGACCCAGAUUUAAAGAUAUCCUUUAUUAUGUAAUGGCAUCAUUCCUAGAGGUGAGCUUAGAUCUUUGGAUAACUUUUUUUUUCAAAGGAUGCUGAUGGAUGCCAAAUAGCAGUCCCGAUAAAGCCAUAUUGUAGUUGGGUUCCUCCUGCAUAAGGCUAUCUCAAAUACACCUUUGCCGAAAGCUCGCCCUUGUUUCCUGUACUAUUCCAUCCUUGUAAUGUGAAAAAACUUGGUGGGCAAUUUGUGACAUCUCUCUGAAAAUAGUACUCACAACGGUAUUGAGGACAUAUCUUCUGAUGAUGUCAGGAACCGUCACUAAUAGGCCUAGUGAUUGAUCUCGAAGCUGGUUUCUAUGAUUGAAUGCAUAGAUUAUUCUGUAUGAUCAGGACCCCGUCUUACAAAGAGUUACGAUUGAUCCAAUCAAUCACAACUACGGAAAGCCAGCAACGUCAACAUCUAAAAUACAUGAUUGUUUAGAAUAUUUCCUAGUUGUGAUGUAUAUUCAUAUUUUUCUUGAAAAUUCAGUGUGCUUCUCUUUGUUUACAAAGGACUUUGUGCAUAUUUUCUGAAGAAAAAAUUAUGACAUUGAUGGAUUUCCAUAUACUUUGUAAGACGGGGCGGAAUUGUAAUGAAACAGCCCCACCCUCAAUUGCCAAGCUUUUCAAGUUGUCCUCAAGGGUGGUGUACGUUUGCUGCGAUGAUUUUGCGACAAUGAGCUUACGAUGAUGAUCGACAGCCAAGGUGUGCCGAAGGCUGUAUUUCAUGUGGAAAGAAAUGCCUGAAGACACAACAAUCCGUUGGUCAAUGUAUUGUCUUUCAAGAAGCUGAAGGAUUUUCUGCAUAACAUCAGUGGGGUUUAUAGGAUUCUUAUCUCAAGUUCUAGUGAGUAUUGGUUUGCUCACCAGAACCCAGUCUCAAUUUGCAAAAUGGAGUCAAUGAUGUGCUCCUGUUGGUUGACAAGGUUACCAUCGUAUGUACCAAAGAUAUGGCAACCUUGACUCCCGGCUCUGAUACAAAUUUGACCUUUUACGAGACAUUGAGCUUAUCAUCCCAUUGACGUUAUGCAUUUAUUCAUUAGUCUGUAAGAUGAAAAAGUCAGGUUUAUUUCUCCUCACAUGUAUUAUUCUUCUUCUUAUCUAUAUAUCCGUCCAGAAUUGUUUGUUGGGAAGUUGUCAAUGAGAAGACUAUUUCCUAUUUUUGUAAAUUAGAUGUUUUAAGGAUUGCAAAUUCAAGUAAAAAAAAUGCCAAAAAUGUCCAAAAUGGACCAUAAAAAUAAAAAGAUGCUUUAGAUAGGUAAUUUACUCUAUAAAAAGCAAGAAAACUGUCAACUUGUUUUAUCUUGUUUGAUGAUGCCUACAGGUACGGGUAUGUUAAAUUGAAAUUGAAAAUAAAAACUUGACAAAAACAUUUCAUAUCUGUGCUAGUUACUUCUCAACACAAUCAUUUCAGAUUACACUUUUUUGUUCAGUGGUGACAUACCAUGAUAGAAAAUGUAAUAUAAAUCAUAGAUUUGACAUUUCUAUGAAACGAUGUUUGAAAAUAUAAUAAAAAACAAUAGAAUACAUUUGGCACAAAUAUAUUACUUUUUUUCUUCAAAGAAACUUCCACCUGAAAUAUACUUUAAUCCCAACCGCAUCCCAAUCAUGUAAAAGAGCUUAAUACGCUCUUUCAUUCGAUUCCAAUUUGUCAUGGUAGUAUUUAUACUUCUGGCAAGCGAACAAAUUUCACUGAAUUCCAUGGGUGUAUGUAAAUAUUUGGCCUCAACUGUACUUGAGCAAUGUUUUGCCUCAGAGGCUUGUAUCACAAAGCAUAGGGAUUGAUCGCAAAGUUGAUUUGUACAAUUGAUUGCAUGUAAUGAUCAAUUAAAUCAAUCUUAAGAAUCAGCCCUAUGAUCAAUCACAUAUGCCUAAAUAAAAUCUUUGUGAAAGGGUUUCAUGACGUUUGCUCUGGCGACAAUUGCUCCGAUGGAAAAUCUGCAUGUUAAACCCAAACAUGAUAUCUAACCUCCAAAACUAAAUAAACCUGAAUCCUUAUCUUAACAUUAUUCUGAAACAAAAAGUCUCUUACAAUCCUAACUCAAACCCUCUGCCCUCUGAUAUAUUCAAACUGCCAGAACAAUUGUUGUGUUACCUGUGAAAGUGGUGAUUUUGGGCCUGGAACCUUGAGCAAUUCUUUACCUCUUACUGUAUUAAAACCUGAAUCUAGCUGAGAGUGUCGUCUGGUCCAUUGUUUCACAGCAGGAAGAAAUAUUCAUGAUUAUGUUUAAACUCAUCAAAACCAAAUAUUUUGGUUUGCUUUCAAUUUUAACUAAGAUUGAUGAACAUGGUGGUGGUUGGUACAUGUAGAAACCGUUAUUGAAUUGGUGUUUGGAAUAAUUGAGAUAUUUUUUGAAAUAAUUGUAAUUAGAAACUCUUGACGGAAAAAUGAUCUGUUUGAAUAAUAUUGACCAGUCCAUAAGGACAUUGUUUAUAAUAGUGGGAAAUUUGCAUAAUGUCAUAAUGUUACGUCAUGAAUAUAUGUGUGCCUGUGAUUCCUCAUCACGAUUAGAUGAGACAGUGAUAUAGUAUUAAAUUCAAUAUUCAUAAAGUAAUUAUAUGAAUCUAUAGUACUACACUUAUGCCGUCAUGAAUAUUCAUAUCUUCACUUGAAGCUUAAGCACUUUAUCAAAGGAUUCUGAAGUACUUCAAUAACCUCUUUCUAUGAAACCAAUGUAGCUUGAAAAUGAAUGAAUAUUCGUAAUAUCUUCACUUGAAGCUUAAGCAUUUUAUCAAAUGAUUCUGAAGUACUUCAAUAACCUUUUUCUGUGAAACUAAUAAAAAGGUUAUCAUAUCAAGUACUACUACAAGUGUGUCAGCUUUCAGGUAAAAUUCUGAUUUUGGAUUCAGGAAAAUCCACAAUUUACAUGUGGAUAUCCAUGCACAUGUACUGUAUAAUUUAACUCUUUGUAUAAUAUCUUCAUAUUUGUAUUUACCAGCAAUAAAUGAUUUGUUGAAAAACAUUUAAUAUGUAGUUCACAAUAGCAUGCAUGUUGAAUCAUUGUAGCAUUUAAUGAGCAAAUGUUUGUGCAUGUUAAACUAUUGUACCAUAAAUAUAACAGAUACUCAAAAUUUAAAUUUAGCAUGAUUUUACAAUUACUUGCAGUAUGUACAUGUUUAGGUAACUAGAAAUAGAGUAUGUCUUUCAUCGUUUUAAUAUUUAUGUAAAAAGAUCACUUUUAGAAAUAAGUUUUUGAUGUGACCUUAGAUUGAGUAUAAAGGUAUUGGAUCUAUUUGUUCUCUCUGAAUACUGUAAACAUCUUUAAUAUUACUAUUAUUUGUUUGAAAUUUGAAAAAUUAGAAGCAAAGAAAAGUAUCAUGGAGGAAACAUCUUAAAUAAUAAAAAAAAUGGGUAUAUAUUUGAAAUAUGAUAUGGAAACAUGGGUAUAGGUUUUGUGCUAAUACAUUGAAAUAACAUUUAUUUAUCUAUUUGAAAGUUUCUUGAAAUAUCAUUUAUAUAUUCCAAUCACGUUCAUUUGUAGUAUGGAAUUUGCUGCAUUAUAUCCUUUUGUUUUGUAAUCUUGCAAGGCUUAUCAUCAAUAUUUGCUAAAGUAAUGGAAGUAUCAUAAAUGCAGUAUCACUACCUUUGUAUUCUGGACCAAAAUGAAUCUUAAUGCAAUAAGGAAAAUUGAAAAAAAGACAAUUAUUGUAUUUUCGAAGUGUGAUUUGGGAGGCCUUUUCAUUUUUAUCCCUAGGGAAAAAGUACAUACAUGUACAUGUAUUUACUUAUUAUCACAUUGUGCAAUUAGACAUUUGACCAAUAUUGUUUUUGCUGUGUAUAUUAAAACGAGAUAAAUGUAUAUCUUUAUGAUUUCAUUUUCAAAGAAAGUAAUGGCAGAUAAAAAUUGUGCUCCACAUAAAAUUUUGUCCAGUGUAUAUCUUUAUCAUUUCAUGUUUCAAAGAAACUGCAGUUACAUGGACAAAUUGUGCUGUACAAGAAAGUGUCGUCCAGAGAAUCAUAAGUUUGUAAAACUCGUCAAAUUUUUUUGUUUUGUUUUUUAAAUUGUAUUUAACUUUCUAUGGGAUACAAGUAUAUGACUUCACAUUAUUUAUGGGCAGUAUUUAUUGCAAUGAAUUUUCUAUCAUCUUUUUACCAUUAAAGGUAGUAGUAGACUUA